rnacentral:rRNA from 1 species
GUCAACCUGCCCUGGAGACAAGGACAACCCCGGGUUAACUGGGAUUAAUCCUUGAUAGGUCAUCUCAUCUGGAAGGAGAGAUGGCUUAAAGGGGUACGCGGGCUUCUUCCGCGAAUCCGCUCCAGGAUGGGACUGCGUCCGAUCAGGCUGUUGGCGGGGUAAUGGCCCACCAAACCUGUAACCGGUACGGGCCUUGAGAGAGGUGGCCCGGAGAUGGACACUGAGAGAAGGGUCCAGGUCCUACGGGGCGCAGCAGGCGCGAAACCUUCGCANUGNGCGAAAGCGUGACGAGGUUAAUCCGAGUGACUUCCGCUGAGGAGGUCUUUUGUCAGCUGUAAAUAGGCAGGCGAAUAAGGGGAGGGCAAGCCUGGUGUCAGCCGCCGCGGUAAUACCAGCUCCUCGAGUGGUCGGGGCGAUUAUUGGGCCUAAAGCAUCCGUAGCCGGUUCCGUAGGUCCUCUGUUAAAAUCCAACCCGCUUAACGGUUGACCUGCAGAAGGAUACCGCGGGACUAGAAGGCGGGNAGAGGCNGNACGGUACU